rnacentral:tRNA from 3 species
GCGCGUGUGGUGAAAUUGGUAGACACGCUAGACUUAGGAUCUAGUGCCGCGAGGCAUGGGGGUUCAAGUCCCUCCACGCGCACCA